UGGGGAAUUUUGGACAAUGGGCGCAAGCCUGAUCCAGCAAUGCCGCGUGCAGGAUGAAGGCCUUCGGGUUGUAAACUGCUUUUGUACAGAACGAAAAGUCUUGGGUUAAUACCCUGGGACCAUGACGGUACUGUAAGAAUAAGCACCGGCUAACUACGUGCCAGCAGCCGCGGUAAUACGUAGGGUGCAAGCGUUAAUCGGAAUUACUGGGCGUAAAGCGUGCGCAGGCGGUUAUGUAAGACAGAGGUGAAAUCCCCGGGCUCAACCUGGGAACGGCCUUUGUGACUGCAUAGCUAGAGUACGGUAGAGGGGGAUGGAAUUCCGCGUGUAGCAGUGAAAUGCGUAGAUAUGCGGAGGAACACCGAUGGCGAAGGCAAUCCCCUGGACCUGUACUGACGCUCAUGCACGAAAGCGUGGGGAGCAAACAGG
rnacentral:rRNA from 1 species